rfam:Triticum urartu cultivar G1812 contig1140997, whole genome shotgun sequence.
GAAGUACUCCCUUCGUCCCAAAAUAAGUGACUCAAGUUUGUACUAACUUUGUACUAAAACUAGUACAAAUUGAGUCACUUAUUUUGGGACGGAGGGAGUAUAUA